GACAGAGGGUGCAAACGUUGCUCGGAAUCAUUGGGCGUAAAGCGCGUGUAGGCGGACCAUCAAGCCUGAGGUGAAAGGUUGGGGCUCAACCCCAUACAGUGCCUUGGGGACUGUUGGUCUGGAGGCAGGCAGAGGUAUGUGGAAUUCCAGGUGUAGCGGUGGAAUGCGUAGAGAUCAGGAAGAACACCCAUGGCGAAGGCAGCAUACUGGGCCUGUACUGACGCUGAGACGCGAAAGCGUGGGGAGCAAACGGG
rnacentral:rRNA from 1 species